rnacentral:sRNA from 1 species
UUCUGCCCCAGAUAGCAGUGGAAAGCUUCGAGAUUUAGAAACUUAUUUUUUCUUGAGAAGGCAGAGCGACCAGAGGAAGCUCCUGCCAGCUCAUUAGAAAAAAAAGUUUUCUAAACGAGAACUUGCAACGGAUAGCUGGAAUAGGC